GAUCAAUCUGAUAACAGAGAUGGCUACUAAGUGACUCACGGCAGGUAGAGUAUACUGUGGAUACACUAGACAAAGGGAUGAUUUAUAUCCUGGGCAGAAUGGAGUAGGACAGUGAAAGAUUUCGCCAACAUAUUCAGAAUAGCAUGCAAUUUAAAACUUAUUUUGAAGUUGGAAGAAGUGGCAAAAUGUGAAAAGCAAGAAGCAAGUAUUACCAGAGACACCUAUGAAAAAGAAAUCUUUCUGAAGAACAUUUUUAAAGUGCCAUAAUCUGUUCGGUGAAUCCAAAGGCUGAAAGAGACUGAGUAACAGCUAUUAAGUAAGGUGAAAAUGUUAUUUUACAUGGAAACCUAUUUUGUUCCAUAAAACUAAAUAAACCAUAACCCAGAAGUGCAAUGAGACACACACAGCAUGACCACAUUAUUUCUGAAAGCUGAAGAGUUGCCAGUCUGUUGAUCUCAAACUUCAUGAACCACACAGUUCAGUUCAAAUUGUUUCCCUGAAAUUGCUUUGAGCCUCUGCCAAACAGCCACUGAAGGACUCCGAAAAAUACAAGAACUGAAAGGGGCACAUGGCAGAUACAAUCAUAAACUUUCAUUUCGGAGAGCAGUAAAAAAGGAGAAGAAGAACACACUGGUACUCCAACAAGUCAUAGUUUCUGCCAGAUGUUGCAAAAUUUCCCAUAGUCCUUAUGGUGCCUGACUGUCGUUAUCAACUUCUGACUCAUUCUAACACACUGCUUUACCUUGGCUGUAAGCUGGGAACCCUGCUAUCAGAAAUUCAUAUCAAAUGUCCACAGAAACCCAAUCAGCAACACUACUUUCAAAGUGUCUUUUGACAAGUAAUAUGUGCAUUUUACAAAUCCAAAGGCAAUAUUUGAAGUAGCUCUUCAAAACAGCUGCAUUACUCAAAGCUAUCUCUGUAUCAUCGCCUUGUUUCCUGGAAGAAAAUGUGGAAAUGUGUACUGAAAAUGUGUAAAUGAUUAAAGCAUCAGUAUAAAGAAAAAACAUUCUGAAGAUGAAUAAAAAUUAUUUUGAGGGCUUGUUGAAAAACCAAACACCAGAUGUCCACGGCUGACUUGCCAAAUGAAAAUCCUUGAAAGAAAGGUCCAGAAAUUGGCAUUUCAAAUGAAUAUACCCCAGCUGAUUGACACAGGUGUUCCUUUGAGCAAUCCUGGAUAGCACUGUUGUAGACCCUAGCUUCUCUCUCCAAUUGCCCUCCGCUAUAAGAGACCAGCCUUCCUAAGACUCUGACUGUGGCUCCACUACCUUCUGGCUUUGGUAUGAACUUUACUAAUGGUACGUCUUGAUAAAAUUGAAGAUGAGAAGAAGAAUGAAGUAGGAGUAGUUAUUUUCCCUGUCCCCUUUCCGCAGAUAGCCUCAGGCUGGCCACCAUUCUUGAACAAAG
rnacentral:lncRNA from 1 species